UGUAUGGAAUUCCGUCUUAUGUUGUUGC
rnacentral:sRNA from 1 species